rnacentral:tRNA from 1 species
GCAGGGUAUGGUGUAAGUGGUAUUCUUGCACACCUCGCACGUGUGAGAUAGUGGCGGUUCGACUCCGCCUCCCUGCA